GACUUCUCUAGUCUCUGCCCCACAGACAGGUAUAAAAUGUUAUAAGAGCUCUAUUGGAAUAUCUGCCACAGAGAAGGCAGAACAGUUGAAAAGAGCAGGCAAAAGAAUCCUCGAAGCUUAUGUAUCCAGACACAGACGGCUCCCGAUGCGCUGCCCCCUGAGAAAACACUUGAAUUGACGCAAUAUAAAACAAAAUGUGAAAACCAAAGUGGAUUUAUCCUGCAGCUCAAGCAGCUUCUUGCCUGUGGUAAUACCAAGUUUGAGGCAUUGACAGUUGUGAUUCAGCACCUGCUGUCUGAGCGGGAGGAAGCACUGAAACAACACAAAACCCUAUCUCAAGAACUUGUUAACCUCCGGGGAGAGCUAGCUUGACCUUCAGUUCACAGAAUUCCUGGCACUGAUCUGACUAAGCCUAGCAGAACUUCUGAUGAGCAAAACAUUUCUCGCUGAAGAGAGGGACAGAGUUAUUUUUGUAAUUGUGUGAAUUCCUGUUAAAUAAUGUUGUCAUUUUUUUUUCUGAAGCACUUUUCAUAUGAGAAUAGUG
rnacentral:sRNA from 1 species